rnacentral:rRNA from 1 species
AACGUAGGACACAAGCGUUAUCCGGAAUUACUGGGCGUAAAGCGUGCGCAGGCGGUUUUGUAAGCCAGAUGUGAAAUCCCCGGGCUUAACCUGGGAAUGGCAUUUGGGACUGCAAGGCUUGAGUGCGGCAGAGGAGACUGGAAUUCCUGGUGUAGCAGUGAAAUGCGUAGAUAUCAGGAGGAACACCGAUGGCGAAGGCAGGUCUCUGGGCUGACACUGACGCUCAUGCACGAAAGCGUGGGGAGCAAACAGG